rnacentral:lncRNA from 1 species
AAGCUAGGAGCCGCGCGAGUCGUAGUGUCGCUGUUUGCGGGUCUCCGCGCGGGACCGGGGCGCAGCGGGGUCGCUGAGGCGAGGGUGUCAUGUCAGACAACGAGGACAAUUUUGAUGGCGACGACUUUGAUGAUGUGGAGGAGGAUGAAGGGCUAGAUGACUUGGAGAAUGCCGAAGAGGUCAGUAUUCAGCCUCAGGCUCCCACCUCUGCAGCCCAAGCUGCCAAAUCGUCUGACAGGAAGGCCAGGAGAAUGUCGAGAUCCUCCCCUCUGGGGAGCGACCGCAGGCCAACCAGAAGCGAAUCACCACACCAUACAUGACCAAGUACGAGCGAGCCCGCGUGCUGGGCACCCGAGCGCUCCAGAUUGCGAUGUGUGCCCCUGUGAUGGUGGAGCUGGAGGGGGAGACAGAUCCUCUGCUCAUUGCCAUGAAGGAACUCAAGUAAGUCACUCAAAUCAUGGUUCACUUCUCCAAAUCUCUGGGAGGCAUCUGUUGGGCUCUCUGUUGCACCCUUUGCUCCCACUUGCCUGGCUGGAGAAGUUGAUGCUUAUUCCUACAGAUCCU